UUACUACUCCCUCCGUCCCAAAAUAACUGACGUGGAUUUGUAUAGAUUCUUAUACAAAUCCACGUCACUUAUUUUGGGACGGAGGGAGUAUUAU
rnacentral:pre_miRNA from 1 species